AACGAACGCUGGCGGCAUGCCUAACACAUGCAAGUCGAACGAGACCUUCGGGUCUAGUGGCGCACGGGUGCGUAACGCGUGGGAACCUGCCCUUAGGUUCGGAAAAACUCCCCGAAAGGGGUGCUAAUACCGGAUAAUGUCUUCGGACCAAAGAUUUAUCGCCUUUGGAUGGGCCCGCGUUGGAUUAGCUAGUUGGUAGGGUAAAAGCCUACCAAGGCGACGAUCCAUAGCUGGUCUGAGAGGAUGAUCAGCCACACUGGGACUGAGACACGGCCCAGACUCCUACGGGAGGCAGCAGUGGGGAAUAUUGGACAAUGGGCGAAAGCCUGAUCCAGCAAUGCCGCGUGAGUGAUGAAGGCCUUAGGGUUGUAAAGCUCUUUUACCCGGGAUGAUAAUGACAGUACCGGGAGAAUAAGCUCCGGCUAACUCCGUG
rnacentral:rRNA from 1 species